UCUAUAAUUAAUACUACUAUAUAAUAUAAAUACAUAUUUAUAAAGUUAUAAUAAAAAUAUUUUACUAUGAAAUAACAAUGGUCUGGUUUACGGUAACAAAAAAAAAAAAAAAAAAGAAAGAAAUAAAAAAAGUGAAUAUACAUUUAUAUAAAACUCCGAUGCAUUAUAGCGAGAAACACGAGCGAAUCGUUGAUCACGAAGUAGUAGUGAAUCGACCUUUAAGCUCGAUUUUCUUUCUCUCUUUCUCUCUCUCUCUCUUUCUCUCUCUUUUUCUACAUAAGUAUUAUUAUUGUAAAAGCGUUCAUGGAUGGGCGUUAAAAAUAAAAUGCGUGAGGCAAGGUUUAAUUACCGAUUUAUUCCCAGCCAUGAUUCCGAUCUAUCGAUCUAUCGAUCGAAUCUUGUUUCUUUGAAACAUAUUUCAUCGUCAUGGUAGACUGAGCUUGGAAAGUUAAACUGGAGAUGCUCUCUUAGAAAAAGGAUACAAAGAAGAAGUAGAAGAAAAAGUAGAAAAGGAAAAAGAAGUAGAAGAAGAAAAAGAAAUAGAAGAAGAAAAAGAAGUAGAAGAAGAAAAAGAAGUAGAAGAAGUUGUGGCGAGAACGGCAAACGAUCAACACGGGGGUCCUCUUAUCGGUGUGCGAUCCUAACGCGUCGUGGAUAUAAUUUCCAUUCCAUGGCAUCUAAAGAGAUAACCGACUGGGUUCCACUCGAGAUUCCGCUAAUGUUGCUUGCGCGAACGCUCAGUGUGAGGUUAGACUUCGUGAUCGACUCGUUCGAUAUACCGAUUUCGAAGCGACCUUUUAUAGUAUUGUUUCGGAACUAGCUAGAAAUGAGAGAAGAGAAACAAUAGCCCGUUAUACACGGGUGUUACAGUUUCUCUAAUCGUUCGAAGGAUCUCUGUUAGAAAAACGUGGAUUAUACUGGCGUGAAAUAAAAGAAGUAGAAGAAAAAGAAAAUGAUGAUGAUGAUGAUGAUGAUGAUGAUAAUGAUGAUGA